GACGAACGCUGGCGGCGUGCUUAACACAUGCAAGUCGAACGGAAAGGCCCUGCUUUUGUGGGGUGCUCGAGUGGCGAACGGGUGAGUAACACGUGAGUAACCUGCCCUUGACUUUGGGAUAACUUCAGGAAACUGGGGCUAAUACCGGAUAGGAGCUCCUGCUGCAUGGUGGGGGUUGGAAAGUUUCGGCGGUUGGGGAUGGACUCGCGGCUUAUCAGCUUGUUGGUGGGGUAGUGGCAUACCAAGGCUUUGACGGGUAGCCGGCCUGAGAGGGUGACCGGCCACAAUGGGACUGAGAUACGGCCCAGACUCCUACGGGAGGCAGCAGUGGGGAAUAUUGCACAAUGGGCGGAAGCCUGAUGCAGCAACGCCGCGUGCGGGAUGACGGCCUUCGGGUUGUAAACCGCUUUCGCCUGUGACGAAGCGUGAGUGACGGUAAUGGGUAAAGAAGCAACGGCUAACUACGUG
rnacentral:rRNA from 1 species